rnacentral:rRNA from 1 species
UGGGGAAUAUUGGACAAUGGGCGAAAGCCUGAUCCAGCCAUGCCGCGUGUGUGAAGAAGGUCUUCGGAUUGUAAAGCACUUUAAGUUGGGAGGAAGGGCAGUAAGCGAAUACCUUGCUGUUUUGACGUUACCGACAGAAUAAGCACCGGCCAACUCUGUGCCAGCAGCCGCGGUAAUACAGAGGGUGCAAGCGUUAAUCGGAAUUACUGGGCGUAAAGCGCGCGUAGGUGGUUCGUUAAGUUGAAUGUGAAAGCCCCGGGCUCAACCUGGGAACUGCAUCCAAAACUGGCGAGCUAGAGUAGGGCAGAGGGUGGUGGAAUUUCCUGUGUAGCGGUGAAAUGCGUAGAUAUAGGAAGGAACACCAGUGGCGAAGGCGACCACCUGGGCUCAUACUGACACUGAGGUGCGAAAGCGUGGGGAGCAAACAGG